rnacentral:ncRNA from 1 species
CGGGGAUAACAGGCUGAUCUUGCCCAAGAGUCCAUAUCGACGGCAUGGUUUGGCACCUCGAUGUCGGCUCGUCGCAUCCUGGGGCUGGAGUAGGUCCCAAGGGUUGGGCUGUUCGCCCAUUAAAGCGGUACGCGAGCUGGGUUUAGAACGUCGUGAGACAGUUCGGUCCCUAUCCUCUGCGCGCGCAGGAAAUUUGAGAAGAGCUAUCCCUAGUACGAGAGGACCGGGAUGGACGAACCUCUGGUGUGUCAGUUGUUCCGCCAGGAGCACCGCUGAUUAGCUACGUUCGGAACGGAUAACCGCUGAAAGCAUCUAAGCGGGAAGCCGGCUUCAAGAUGAGAUUUCCAUGACUUCGGUCGAGAGGCUCCCAGCUAGACUACUGGGUUGAUAGGCGGGAUGUGGAAGUGCGGACUAAAGACGCAUGGAGCUGACCCGUACUAAUAAGCCGAUAAAUUGAUAACA